CCUACGGGUGGCUGCAGUGGGGAAUAUUGGACAAUGGGCGCAAGCCUGAUCCAGCCAUGCCGCGUGGGUGAAGAAGGUCUUCGGAUCGUAAAGCCCUUUCGACCGGGACGAUGAUGACGGGGCCUGUAAAACAAUCCCCUUCUAACUUCCUGCCAGCAGCCGCGGUAAUACGAAGGGGGCUAGCGUUGCUCGGAAUUACUGGGCGUAAAGGGUGCGUAGGCGUCUUAGUCAGUCAGGCGUGAAAUUCCUGGGCUUAACCUGGAGGCUGCGUUUGAGACCUUUGAGCUAGAGGGUAGGAGAGGGUCUUGGACUUCCCAGUGUAGAGGUGAAAUUCGUAUAUAUUGGGAAGAACACAGGUGGCGAAAGCGGCGACCUGACCUAUUACUGAAGCUGAGGCGCGACAACGUGGGGAGCAAACAGGAUUA
rnacentral:rRNA from 1 species